rnacentral:rRNA from 1 species
AUUGAACGCUGGCGGCAGGCCUAACACAUGCAAGUCGAACGAGUGGCGGACGGGUGAGUAAUGUCUGGGAAACUGCCUGAUGGAGGGGGAUAACUACUGGAAACGGUAGCUAAUACCGCAUACCAUCGGAUGUGCCCAGAUGGGAUUAGCUAGUAGGUGUGGUAAAGGCUCACCUAGGCGACGAUCCCUAGCUGGUCUGAGAGGAUGACCAGGCAGACUGGAACUGCGACACGGUCCAGAGUCCUACGUGAGGAAGCAGUGGGGAAUAGUGCACAAUGGGGGCAAUCCUGAUGCAGCCAUGCCGCGUGGAUGAAGAAGGCCUUCGGGUUGUAAAGUACUUUCAGCGGGGAGGCGUUACCCGCAGAAGAAGCACCGGCUAACUUCGUGCCAGCAGCCGCGGUAAUAC